GUACUCGCUUCAGCAGCACGUAUACUAAAAUUGGAAUGAUACAGAGAAGAUUAGCAUAGCCCUUGCACAAGGAUGACACGCAAAUUCGUGAAGCAGUCCAUAUUUUU
rnacentral:snRNA from 1 species